rnacentral:rRNA from 1 species
UGACAGGGAGACAGGUGGUGCAUUGGUUGUCGUCAGCUCGUGUCGUGAGAUGUUGGGUUAAGUCCCGCAACGAGCGCAACCCUACGUUUAGUUGCUAACGCGUGAAGGCGAGCACUCUAGACGAACUGCCGUUGACAAAACGGAGGAAGGUGGGGAUGACGUCAAAUCAUCAUGCCCCUUAUGUUCUGGGCUACACACGUGCUACAAUGGCCGGUACAGACGGACGCAAAGCCGCGAGGUGGAGCAAAUCCUAAAAAGCCGGUCUCAGUUCGGAUUGCAGGCUGCAAUUCGCCUGCAUGAAGUCGGAAUCGCUAGUAAUCGCAGGUCAGCAUACUGCGGUGAAUACGUUCCCGGGCCUU